rnacentral:misc_RNA from 1 species
CUUAUUAGCCAAAUGCACAGCAUUUGCAGCGGCUGCUAUAGCGAAGAUGUGCCACUCAAACUAGUUUUAGUUCAGUUUUCUUCAUUCAACGAGCAAGUUUGGUAGAAAGCGUUGGUUGGCGCAUUUAUUAGACCAGCACGCUAGUGUGUCGUCGUCGUAGUUAUUAUCGCGGUCACUGUGCUAGUAAACGAAAUUAAGGCAAUUGGCACUUGGAUAAAUGUGUGGAGUGCUAGGGCUCGUGCGGUUGAGUUAUUUCAUAACAAUUAAAAAAAAACGCAUGAAUUCUACUAUUUUAUGAAAUAUGCAACAAAAGUUUACGAGCCGAUAAGUUUCUCACAAAGUAAAUGCAAACUUUCUGCAAGGAAAGUUUAAAAGCAUUUACCUACUUGCAGCAAGGAAAAAAAAGACGAAAUUUUCUUCACAUACAUAUAUUUCUUGUAUAGUUGUUUAUUGUUACGUGAAUGCGUUGCGUUUUGUAGGUGUUUGCGUGUAAAAGAAUGCGGGUCGUGCACAAAUACAUGCAUGCAUGCAUGAGUAUAUGACUGUAUUUGUGUUGAAUUCGAUGAGUGUGGUUUGAGUCAUACCUGAAAAAAUAGUCGAAGAAAAAACAAAAAGUCACAAAAGCAGCAGCAGAUUUUGUAGUAAAUCGAGUAAACAAAAAAAUAAUUGCAGUGUGCAAUACGAACUUUUUUGCAGAAUUUAAAUAAAUUAUUGAACAAGUCGAAAAUUAAAAGAAAUUAAUUACAAAAGAAUUAAGUUAGCAAACACCGGAAGUGGCGAAGCCGUUAAGAAAACGUAAUAAAUGUGUGUUUGUUUGUGGGAAAACAAAACUGAGUGGAAUACUUGGUUGCAGCAACGCAGUUUCCUGCCUAUUCUCAUAUCUUUGUUGGUGUAGGUCAAUAACUUGCUAAGGCGUAAAGAUACUCGAAUUCAGAAGAUAAUGCGAAAGUAGCAGAGGCACAAAGAAAGUUCAGUAGCAACAGCAAAAUUGGCUUAAUUCGACUUAUCAAACGAUCACUAAUUGAAGCAGUUAUAUUUAAAUAUUAGUGACAUAGAAUAGUGAAGAAAAUAAGUAAACAUUAGCUAUUCCAACCAGCACAACAACAAUACGGCAAUCGUAGCCGGGUGCACAGCCAGAAAAGAUAACAAAGGCAAAUACCUAGUGGAGGAAGUAGAAGGCAGCGUAGAAAAAGUGGUAGCAAACAGCAAAACCAACGAGUUGUUUACACGCACACAAAUGCAUUUGUUGUACAUACAUACAAACAUAAGUACAUAUUUCUUUUUCCACUUUACUCGCAUUCUCUACUUGGCUGUUGGCUGUUGGCUGUCUGGACAAGACGAAUGAAUACCACCUUUCCGGUUUGGUUGGCAGCAGAAGUGUUUGGAAGCGUGUGCAGGCAAAAAGCAGGUUUUCGAACAGUGCAAGGCGCAGUGCAAAAGAUAAUAAAAGUACAUAAAUAAAAACUAAAAAAAUUACCUGAAAAUAAAAAUUGAGAGAUCAAAUGUAACGGGCAGCGAGUAGCUGUCGCUGUUUUGUGAGAAAGAAUUGCGCUGGAAAUACAAGAAAAUUAAAUUAUAACAAUUUAACAAUUGAGUGUAAGAAAAUUAAUAAAUUAAAAAAAUAGCUAAAAUGCGUAAAUAACGCACUGCCUAUUGAACGUGUGUUUGUAGUGCAGCAGAUUCGAGUGCAACAAAAUAAUUAACUAAAAUUGAAUAAAAACAAAAAAAAAACGUCAAGCUGUAACUGAUCUACGCAUUUGCUUGCAAACUUAAAAAACCAACGAAAGUUUUUAACCAAAAGUGUUUUGUCGCAAUUGUGUGCCCGCAAAGUUGUUCAACGAAUUUGCACAGUUUCCUCGAGUCGGUUUAUUUAAUUUUUCUUGUGCCACCACAAGACCACAACAACAUCUCUACUUCAAUGCAAAGCCACUCGCAGGUCGCACCACAACACUUUGUAGCAGUAAAAUUAAGCAAAUAACAAAAAUAAAAAAAAGGCAGACAUUGUAAAAACUUCUGACUCUCGUCCGCAAGCUGCAGCAGCAGCAACUACUUUUGGACAUAAGCACAAUUGUUAGCCGGAAAUGCCAGCGUGCUAAGUAACUUGCAACUCGUCAACUCCUUUGUGUGCUUUUUGGCUUGGCUACUAUUGGAUGCAAUUACUCAGUCAGUCACUCACUUACCCAGCCAGUCCUUUCACAUUGCCACAGUGCGAUUUUGUGCGUUCUUGGAACUUUGAGUCAUACGAUUUUACCCCCCCGCAAUUAUUUAUGUGCACUCGUUUUGUUGGUUGGGGCAUAAUAAAUAAACGCGACAACUACAUACUACAUACAUACAUACGUAACGGAAGCUGCAGCAUUUGCAACAUUUCUUCAUCCUCUGGAUAAAUAGUGGACUGCUUUUAACGCAGCAAUUCCACUUUGUAUAUUUUCUGUCCCCAAAUUUUUAAUGGAAUAAUUAUGUCAUGGGAUCGUGUACGCGACGACACUUUAUGCUGUCAACAUGCCUGCUGCAAAUGAUAACAAUCAUCGAACGCCAAGUAUUCGAUUUUCUCGGAUACAUGUGGGCGCCCAUAUUGGUCAAUUUCUUUCACAUAAUAUUCAUCAUAUUGGGAUUUUAUGGAGCAUAUCAUUUUAGAAUAAAAUAUAUAAUAACCUAUUUAGUAUGGAGCUUCAUUUGGAUUGGUUGGAAUGCGUUUCUGAUAUGCUUUUACCUGAAUGUAGGCAUAUUGGAUCGGGACAGCGAUCUGCUCAAUAUGGGCACCGGUAGCGUCUCCUGGUUCGAGGUGAACGGUUAUGGUUGCAAGCCAACAUAUCCAGUGAAUAUCACCUCUGACGAUCCAUUUCGUCCCAUACGUCCGGAACGUGUGGAUGAUUGCUUAUUAGAUUAUACUAUAGUCGAAGUAGUACAAUCGGGUGUGCAAUGUGCUUUAGCGUUACUUGGUAUUUUAGGCGCCAUAUUAAUAAGUUACAUAUUCCUCGAUGAAGAUGACAGAUUCGAUUUCGUGAAUGGCGACGCCAAGAGUCCCCAGCACACGGUGGUCCAUCCAAUGUACGUGAGCUACAGCAGCAUACCGACCUCGGCAAGCGCUAGCGCCACAUUGCUCUCAAACAAGCAUCACAACAAUCACCAAGCACUUAACAACAAUAACAACCACCACCAAAUUCAUCCGCAACAACAGCAACUGCAACUGCAGCAGCAGCUCAGUCAUCAUCAGCAACCAAAUAAUUUUAACAGUAACACAUUUCUAAUACACACGAACAGCAUCAGCAACAACAGCCAUAGCCAUAGCCGUAGUCAUAGUCAUAAUCAUAGUCAGAGUCAGAGUCAAAGCAACAAUAGUCGCAGCCGCAGCCGCAGCCGCAGCAAUAGCCAAAGUGGUGGGGUUGGUGGCGGUGGCAUUGGCAAUGGCGGCGGUGGCGCGGCGAGAAAGGGUCGUGGCGGCGGCGGUGGUGGCGGCGGGGGCGGCGAUGGCAACUGCAACUCGCUCAGCGCAAGCAAAACGAGUACACUGACGCGCAUUCUUUACAGCCCGAAGAGUAGCAAUAAGAUCGGCUCGUCUACGGGCAACACCAUACUCCCCGUAGAUAUGUUGCAGCGGCAGCAAUCGCUACCACAAACGCAUACCGUGACGUCAUUAGGCGGUGGCGGCGGGCAGCACUACUAUGACGACAGCACUGCCAAAGCGGAUCAGCUGUACACGAACAGCAAUCGACGGCAAUUCUUGAAUGGUACGACAUAUCAGCAGCACCAACAGCAGCAGCAGCAACAACAAAAUGCUGGCACACCAAACUCCUCAACGCACGACAACACCACAUCGUCGCUCUCGUAUGCUUCGCUGCAGAAUUCCAAUUUGAAUUUGACACAGAGCUUGCGUGGCGGCCAUGGUGGUGGUGGGUUUGGCUACACGGGCACGGUUGGUGGUGGCAAUGGCAUGUGUGCGGGUGUGGUGGGUUCUAGCUCGGGCGGUUUUGGUCGUGGCGGUGGCGGUGGCGGGGGCAUGACCGCCGCCUCGUCGCAAGCCACGCUCAGUCCGCUUAGCAAUAGCCAAUUUAGUCUCAGCAAUAGUAUCAACAAUAAUUAUAGCAACCAUAGUGGCAGCACCGCCAACAACAACAACCACACCAAUUACAGCAAUGUCUUAAAUAACCAUACUAACUAUGUAAAUAACAAUAACGGUAGCAUGGGUAGCGGCGUUGGUGGCGGUCACUUCGCGCGCAUUCACGCUAAACCCAAGCCGCCCAAGUCGACGAGCUACAGCAGCUUCAUCAACAACGGCAGCGCGGCGAAUCUCACUAAUGGUGUCGGCAUCGGCGUCGGUGGCGGCGGCAGCGGCUGCGGCAGCGCUGGGGGUUCCAUGACCAAUAUCCAUCGUCCAGACAUCAAGUAUACGCAAAUGUCCAACGAGCGCCUGUCGCGCAACUUGGAGGAGGGUCUAGAGGACGACAAUUUCUCGCUGCAGAAUUUCAAAACCGAUGACGGUAUUACCUAUGUACCCUUCCAGAAACCAACGCCAGGCGCACUCUUCGUCGGCCAGAAUAACAAUCCCUCGUAUGUGUCGUUGAACUCAUUUGGAGGCACGCAGAUGUCGCCCAACAACAAUGCUAGUCCAAAUACGAUUAACAACAAUGCUUUACCGCAAUUCACGCGCAGCAUUUCUCAGUUGGCGCCACCACCACCGCCACCGCCACCGGCUCUCCAAGAAGGAGAGAUACUUUUAGAGCGCGGCGCUGUACUACAACCCGCCUACAACUAUCAGCCACAUGCACAACAACAGCAAAUGCUGUUGCAGUCACAGGCUGCACAAGGCGCGCAGCAACAGCAACAGCCACUAAUGAAUCCUGCCAAUCGUUUUCUCUACCAACAAAACGGCCUACCAUUCCAUCCAGCCUACAAUAAGCCCAUUCCAGUGCCACUACCGGUGCCCACGCAUACGUCGCCGCCCAUGUCUGCGUCAUAUCAUCACCACAUGAGCCCAGUCGCCAAACAACCGCCACGCCCAACAAACAUUCCAUUACCCACCAUUCCGCCACAUUCAUUCGACACGCCCAUUUCACCCUCGGAGGUUACACCUCCACCACCUCCUGCGCCACGUCCACACAUUUUCCAGCCACGUUCCGGCCAUGCGCCCUACCCCGAUCUCUCACCCGAGGUGACCGAGAAAUAUGCCAUGCCCACACAGUACGUACCGCGCUCACCGGUCGCUUCGCGUAUUGCGCGUCGUCAGCGCCAACAACAACAGACGUCGCAUAAUUAUCACCACCAGCAGUCGGCGCUGCCGGCGACGCAUCACGUGAAUACGUCAGCAAACUUUUGCGAUCAAGUGCGUGAUGCGCCACCUGGCUAUAUAGUGGACGCAGGCUUCAGCAUUGUGCGCGCAAAAAGCUAUGACCGCCUGGCCUCGUCGUCGUCGGGUUCCGUGCGACGCGAUGCGAAAGGCGAAGCACAGUCGAAGCAGGCGCAAGUCAAUGCCGAAGCAGCGCCGCAUGUAAAUAGGCGCAGUGGUCGUCGUGAUGCCGCCGCACGCGCGCGUCCACGAUCAUAUUGCAAUUCGAUGUCUGGUGGUGAGGGCGUGAUACGCGGUAGCUUGGUCUAUGAGCGCGAUUUCGUGGUCGAGAGUGGAGUUAAUGGUGCUGAUGGCGUUGGUGGUAGUGGCGCAGGUGAGGGAGGUGGACAGUUUGUUGGUGGUGAUCAGUUGGCAUAGGCAGAGGCUGGGAAAGUGAGUAGUACAGUAUUGGAGGCACAAAAGCUGCGAACUACCAGCGAUCGUACACGGUAUUGAGACUCAUAGAUUACGAUUGCUGAUUUGAAUGCUCUCAUUUGCGGAAAAGUGGUGGUUAAAUGGUUGUUGAAGCUUCUUCUUUAUCUAACUCACUCUCUCACGUAGCUGCUAAACUAUGUGCGGCCUCUCAAUCGAACAUGAAAAAUUUAAUCAUGCUCUCAAACAUGCAAGCUCUCUACUAAAUCGUUUAUUUAACGCGCGCCAGCCCACUUCGUGUCACCGUGGCGCCGUCGCGCCGUUAAAUGUUGCUUGCGCUGAAGUUGCUGUUGCUACUAUCGACCAGGGCGAUGUUGCUGCAAUACAUAUAUUGCUAAGUGAAUAUAAAUUUGCCACAGCAAACGGCUUAAAAGAUGUAUGUAAAUGUCAAGCGAAUUCCUUGAAAAAUUAAAUAUUAAGAAAACGUUAAUCAAUUUAAUGGCAUGCAAAUGUUUGCAAAGAAUGCAAGUGAAAAAAUUUGAAAUUCAAUGUUGUGUACUAAAAAUGUGUUAAAGAAAAACGGAAAUGAAAAAUGUUCCAAAAUAUUUGGUGUUGUUAGUUAGUUUGUGUAUUAGAAUUUAUGUUCUUAACCUGCAUACGAAUACAUACUUACAACACACACGUAUACAUACUUAUACACUUGUUUGUAUUGUAAAUUGAUGAUGUAAAUUAUACUAUAUACAUAAAAUGUAUUAUUAUUUAACGAACACACAUACUUAUUUAGUUAUAUGUAUGUAUGAAUAUCCUUGUACAUAAUAUUGUUUUUUUUUUUUUAGUACAACAUAAAAUAACUUGUAAUUCUUAUAACAAUACUGGUAUGGGUAUUCGAUUUGUUUUGAACGAAUUUGGAGUUUAUACUAUGAAGGUAUAAUAGAAUUUGAAUAGAAAUCUCACAAAACUGGAUACACAAAUCACGAUUAAUAAGUAGCUUAGCUAAACACAAAAUUAGUAGGGUUUGAGCGCAUAUGACGGUGCUGGCAACAUGUAUCGGGCGACGGCAUGUUGCUAGCGCUGGCGUCGAGGAGAAUAUGUUGGUAGAGAAGGUGGUGGGCGUACGUGGCAAUUAACAAAUCACAUGAGGGAUUUAUUGAGUUAAAUCGAGAAUGAGAUUAAUAAAGAUCGGUGCAAAAUAUCGCGAAAGAGAGUGAAGUGAGAUCAAGGUAAUUAAAGAGAAAAGGGAAAAUAAAUACAUGGCAAAGAAAAAUGAGAACGUUGGGACCGAAGUGAUAAGUAGAAGGAGAAAAAUAUACAGACAAAGACAUGUUUACAACCUAAAGUACGGGCAUAGAAAGAGACUCAGAUACGGAAUAAAAAAAAAAAACAAAUAAAAUAAAAAUAAAAAUACAGUUAUCUAAAGAAACAGAUAUAACAUGCAGGUUCAGACAAAAGAUAAAGCUCAAAUUUCAUAAAGAGAUGAAGAUAACAAAAAUGAAGAGAUAAUGACAAGCAGGUGCAUCAGUAUCAAAGAAACGAUAACGAUAAAGAUAAGAUUAAAGACAAAGAAAUAAAGAUUAAAAAUUAUAAAGAAAUUAAAGGUACAAUUAAAAUUAAAGAUUAAGCUGGAGAUAUAAAGAUUAAAAUAAAGAUGUAAAUAUAUAGACAAAGAUGAACCUAAGGAUAAAGCUGAACAUAAAGAAAACGAUAAACAUAAUAAUAAAGACAAACACAAAAAUAAAGACAAAGAUACAGAUACACACGCGCGUUCGGGUACAGUGAAAAGGUUAGGAACCAACAUUAUAGUGAAAGAAGGAAAGAAGAAAAGAUUAAUAACAACUAAAACUUUGCAAUAUAUUUUUAAUUUUGAAUCGCUUUCAUGAACAUGAAACGCUGUCCAUAAAAUUGUGCAUCGAUAUGAUCAGAAGCUGAUUAGAUAUAGCCAUGUCCGUCUGUCUGUCUGCCCGUCUGAUGGAAAUCAUCAAGGUGGGCCCACAAUAAGUUAUAGCUCCCAUAUAUGUACAUAUAUAGCUGAUUGUUCAUACUUGAGCUUUUGUGAUACUUACAACGCCUACAUUUAGGUAGUCAAAUCAUGAAUUUUUGUGAACUAUUCCACCUUACAAUACCUUUUGGAAAAAUAUGAAGACGAUCGGUCAGCUAAGGUCUUGCUUUAAAAAGCAUUAGACGAAAUGCAAUUAUCAGAACCAUUCAAUCGGCUCUUGUUUGAACUCUUAUAGCAUAAAACAAAGGGCAGGGAAUAUUUUGAAGUAGCUAAAAAGAAAGCUCAGUCCAAAAGAUAUUGAAAUUCUAUUACAAUCACCUAAGCUUGGUUGUACCGGAUACGAUAAUAUAAAAUUUUAUUUAUUUUUUGCAUACAUUUUUAAAUUUGUCCUGUAAAAAUUAUGUUGGCUAUGGUUAGUGAAUCUACCUGUCCUUAUAGAUGGUGGUCCUUAAAAAUAUCUACAUAUAAAUUUUCUAUGGGGCACCCAUUUUUUCUUCUACGUACAAAAUAAAGACAUCCAUACAAAAUUUCGAAAUUAAAAAGAAAAUAAUAAUAAAAUAUUUGGAGUCGUAACGAGGGUUUGAGAAAACUAUAUAUAUAUACAUAUAUAUUUUUUUAAAUCGCAAACAUUCGACACAAUUUUUACUUGAUACUUUAUAAAUUUGACAUAUUAUUUCAAUUUAUUCAUACAAAUUAAAAAAUUUGCUAGGUUAUAGUUGGCGAAAGUAAAAA